CUGGGGUUUCAUGGAUGCAUUUCAAAAAUUUUUUAGUAGAAGAACAUAAAAUUAAACUAUUUAAUCUAUAAAUAUAUAUAUAAGAUUUAAUCUUAAAACUCCUACUAAUGGAUUGAUGAUAUGAAUUUAUAUGCACAAAAAUUUGAAUCUAAAAUGACAAUCACGUGAACCAAAAACAGCAUUUCGUGAUAGAUCUAAUCUACUACUUUUAGAAAUUUGAACCCA
rnacentral:lncRNA from 1 species